rnacentral:rRNA from 1 species
GGGCCCGCACAAGCGGUGGAGCAUGUGGUUCAAUUCGACGCAACGCGAAGAACCUUACCCAGGCUUGAACUGCGAGUGACAUCCUCCGAAAGGAGGCUCCCGCAAGGGCACUCGUAGAGGUGCUGCAUGGCUGUCGUCAGCUCGUGUCGUGAGAUGUUGGGUUAAGUCCCGCAACGAGCGCAACCCUUGUCUGCUGUUGCCAUCAGGUUAUGCUGGGCACUCUGCAGAGACUGCCGGUGAUAAACCGGAGGAAGGUGGGGAUGACGUCAAGUCAGCAUGGCCUUUAUGUCUGGGGCUACACACGUGCUACAAUGGCCGAUACAAACCGUCGCAAAACCGCAAGGUGGAGCUAAUCGGAGAAAGUCGGUCUCAGUUCGGAUAGCAGGCUGCAACUCGCCUGCUUGAAGUUGGAAUCGCUAGUAAUCGCGGAUCAGCACGCCGCGGUGAAUACGUUCCCGGGCCUU